rnacentral:rRNA from 1 species
GCUGGAAUCGCUAGUAAUCGCGGAUCAGAAUGCCGCGGUGAAUACGUUCCCGGGUCUUGUACACACCGCCCGUCACACCAUGGGAGUCGGAAAUGCCCGAAGUCUGUGACCCAACCAUUAAGGAGGGAGCAGCCGAAGGCAGGUCGGAUGACUGGGGUGAAGUCGUAACAAGGUAGC